AGAGUUUGAUUCUGGCUCAGGAUGAACGCUGGCGGCGUGCUUAACACAUGCAAGUCGAACGGAGACAAGAGAAGGCUUGCUUUUCUUAUCUUAGUGGCGGACGGGUGAGUAACGCGUGGGUAACCUACCCUGUACAGGGGGAUAGCAGUUGGAAACGACUGAUAAAACCGCAUAAAACGGCAGUACCGCAUGGUACAACCGUCAAAUAUUCAUAGGUACAGGAUGGGCCCGCGUCUGAUUAGCUAGUUGGUGGGGCAACGGCCUACCAAGGCGACGAUCAGUAGCCGGCCUGAGAGGGUGAACGGCCACAUUGGGACUGAGACACGGCCCAAACUCCUACGGGAGGCAGCAGUGGGGAAUAUUGGACAAUGGGGGAAACCCUGAUCCAGCGAACCGCCGCGUGAGUGAAGAAGUAUUUCGGUAUGUAAAGCUCUAUCAGCAGGGAAGAUGAUGACGGUACCUGACUAAGAAGCACCGGCUAAAUACGUGCCAGCCGCAGC
rnacentral:rRNA from 1 species